rnacentral:rRNA from 1 species
UAGGCGGUGGAAAAUGAACCAAAUGGGAUUCCUUAAGUAAUUGCGAAUGAACAAGGAAAUGCUCAGCUUGAAAAAUGGGGCCUUUGGCUUUGAAUUGUAAUUUUGAAAUGUAUUGCCAAUGGAGGCGCAGGUGCAAGCCUAUUGAAAGAAAGCGUCAACGAGGGUGAAAUUCCUUUUUGUCAUUUGCAGUCCUCCGUGCACGGUAUAUAUUUGACGAGUCACACUCCUCGGCAUUGGAAUGCAAAGUGGGUGGUAAAUUCCAUGUAAAGGUAAAUAUAUUAUUGAGACUGAUAGCAAACAAGUACCAUGAGGGAAAUAUGAAAAGGACUUUGAAAAGGGAAUUAAAAGAGUCUGCAUUUGCUGAACAGAAAGCAAACAGAAUUGAUGUGCUUGGUUGGAUUGUUGUGCCCACUCUGUCAUUUAUGUCGGAUGUGGGUGCGAUGGUUCUUACCUUGAAUGUCAGCUUCUAUUUCUGCAAAUCAUUACCCUUGCACAUGAAUGGUAAUUUGCCUGCGGGUAUUGGAAUGUAUGUGUUUGCAAUGAUUUGUGAUUUGAUGCAUGUGGUUGGUGGACUUUGUAUGUGCUGUUUUGCCAACGGGGAAGGGACUCUUCCUUGAGCACUGCAAGCCCUUGCACAUUGAUGCUGGCAAAAUGUUUCUGCUUG